rnacentral:lncRNA from 1 species
UCUCUCUCUCACAAAGCUCCGCCGCUGCGGAAGCUUCGCCGGGAAGCAGCGGCGAUAAGCCGCCGUCUGCUGCUGUUCCCGGAGUCGCGGCCUGGAGUUGCAGAGCUCCGAAAUCCGGCGAAUCAGCCUCUAUCGCGCCGAGGUCCGGCGCCUCCUUCUCUCUUCCUCAAUCUUGCUCUAAUCUCUCCUAAAUCAAACGCUCCCUUCGGUUCUCUCUCGAUCUGUAUUCAGCCGAGGAAUCCACCGCCGCUGCAACUGGAUUCCGGCGAGCACCAUCGACUGGGAGCCGCUGGAGUGCCGCUGGAGUCCGCUUCUGCUUCGCCGGGAGGAGCUGUCGUCCCUGGAGCUGCUGCUGCUCGCCCGGAGUCGCCGCUGGCUGGCCUGCGAUCGACGGCCAGCAGCUCGCUGGAGGAGCGCCGCCGUCAGCCGCUGCCGUUGGCAGCAAGAAUCCGGCAGCCGCCUCUCCUGGUGCCGCCGUCGCCAUGGACAGCAGGGCUUCGACUUUCCACCGUCUUCCCUCUCAUUUUAUCACUCGAUAGGUUCGUAUAUUAGAAUUAUUUUUCAGAAAACUCAACUUUGUAUAAAGACUUGAUUUUGGAAUGAAAACUUGGUUUUCU